rnacentral:lncRNA from 1 species
CCGACCCAUUUUUUAGAAAUAGAAAGCAUACAAUCGCCGGGGUUUUUUUGGACAUACAAGUGUCCUUCGUUUAUUUGUCAGGAAAUGUGAAUGUUACCAAAUUGAAAAGCAAUCAAGUACUAAAUAGACACUCCCUAAUUUUAAGAUGAUUUUUAACCUAGCUUUUUCUGUUUAGUGUUGGUUUAGCUUACUUAGCUUUUAUAUUUGAACAAUCAGGUUCACAAAUAGAUACCAACCUAGACACGAGCUGGAUAAACCCUAUCUGAUUUUGUUUUCUCCACUUGAGAUUUGCAUGGGAGGUUGCAUUGCCCGGAGGAAAGGCAGAGGAGGGUGAUGCUGAUGAUGCAGCAACAACAUUAAGGGAGGUAAAGGAGGAGAUUGGGCUUGAUCCAGCCUUGGUCACUCUCGUUUCCUCGCUUGAGCACUUCUUG